GUGUCAGCCGCCGCGGUAAAACGUAGGACGCGAGCGUUAUCCGGAUUUACUGGGCGUAAAGCGCGUGCAGGCGGCCUGUUAAGUCGUGCGUGAAAGCUCCCUGGCUCAACCGGGAGAGGUCGUACGAAACUGGCGGGCUAGAGGGCAGUAGAGGCGCGUGGAAUUCCGGGUGUAGUGGUGAAAUGCGUAGAUAUCCGGAGGAACACCAGUGGCGAAGGCGGCGCGCUGGGCUGUACCUGACGAUAAGACGCGAAAGCAUGGGGAGCGAACGGGAUUAGAAACCCCGGUAGGCCUGGCCGUAAACGAUGUCGACUAGGUGUUGGGGCGGAGAGCUUCAGCGCCGGAGCGAACGCGAUAAGUCGACCGCCUGGGGAGUACGGCCGCAAGGCUGAAACUUAAAUGAAUUGACGGGG
rnacentral:rRNA from 1 species